rnacentral:rRNA from 1 species
CUUGCACGCUGGCGGCAGGCCUAACACAUGCAAGUCGAGCGGAUGAAGGGAGCUUGCUCCUGGAUUCAGCGGCGGACGGGUGAGUAAUGCCUAGGAAUCUGCCUGGUAGUGGGGGAUAACGUCCGGAAACGGGCGCUAAUACCGCAUACAUCCUGAGGGAGAAAGUGGGGGAUCUUCGGACCUCACGCUAUCAGAUGAGCCUAGGUCGGAUUAGCUAGUUGGUGGGGUAAAGGCCUACCAAGGCGACGAUCCGUAACUGGUCUGAGAGGAUGAUCAGUCACAAUGGAACUGAGACAAGGUCCAGACUCCUACGGGAGGCAGCAGUGGGGAAUAUUGGACGAUGGGCGAAAGCCUGAUCUAGCCAUGUCGCGUGUGUGGAGAAGGUCUUCUGAUUGUAAAGCACUUUAAGUUGGGAGGAAGGGCAGUAAGUUAAUACCUUGCUGUUUUGACGUUACCAACAGAAUAAGCACCGGCUAACUUCGUG